AAGAGAGAGACAUGCGCGCAUAUCAAUAAGCGGAGGAAAAGAAACUAACAAGGAUUCCCCUAGUAACGGCGAGUGAAGCGGGAAGAGCUCAAAUUUGAAAUCUUAAAGGGUUUCCCUUUACGAAUUGUAGUUUAAAGAAGUGUUUUCUGUUGAGGUUUUGGUAAAAGUUCUUUGGAAUAGGACAUCAUAGAGGGUGAGAAUCCCGUAUUUGACCUUUACUUUCAACUUUGUGAUACACUUUCAAAGAGUCGGAUUGUUUGGGAAUGCAGUCCAAAAUGGGUGGUAAAUUUCAUCUAAAGCUAAAUAUUGGCGAGAGACCGAUAGCGAACAAGUACCGUGAGGGAAAGAUGAAAAGAACUUUGAAAAGAGAGUUAAACAGUACGUGAAAUUGUCAAAAGGGAAGCGUUUGACACCAGUGUUGUUUUUUCUGAAAAUCAAUUAAAGAACUGUUUAUGCUAAGUUGUUUAGACUUUAUCAGCUAACUGUUUAGUUUUGAGCUUUUCUUUAAUGCACUUUUCAGUUAACAAGUCAACAUCAAUUUCUUUUGCUGUAAAAAAAGCUUGAGGAAGGUGGCUUGAGAUUCGUCUUAAGUGUUUAUAGCCUCUUGCCUAUGCAGUCGGAGAGAUUGAGGUCUGCAGCGUAGAUCCUUCGGGGCUAAAUGCAUUUGUGCUAAGUUAUAGCAUUUUAUAGACAACUUGUUGACUAUGAUUUGUCUUGUAGCUUACUCGCUUAUGUUAUUUUACCUACGCUUAGGAUGUUGACGCAUGAGAUAUACGC
rnacentral:rRNA from 1 species